rnacentral:rRNA from 1 species
UCGGACCUUGCGCUAAAUGAUGAGCCUAAGUCGGAUUAGCUAGUUGGUGGGGUAAAGGCCUACCAAGGCGACGAUCUGUAGCGGGUCUGAGAGGAUGAUCCGCCACACUGGGACUGAGACACGGCCCAGACUCCUACGGGAGGCAGCAGUGGGGAAUAUUGGACAAUGGGCGAAAGCCUGAUCCAGCCAUGCCGCGUGUGUGAAGAAGGCCUUUUGGUUGUAAAGCACUUUAAGCGAGGAGGAGGCUACUAGUACUAAUACUACUGGAUAGUGGACGUUACUCGCAGAAUAAGCACCGGCUAACUCUGUGCCAGCAGCCGCGGUAAUACAGAGGGUGCGAGCGUUAAUCGGAUUUACUGGGCGUAAAGCGUGCGUAGGCGGCUUUUUAAGUCGGAUGUGAAAUCCCCGAGCUUAACUUGGGAAUUGCAUUCGAUACUGGGAAGCUAGAGUAUGGGAGAGGAUGGUAGAAUUCCAGGUGUAGCGGUGAAAUGCGUAGAGAUCUGGAGGAAUACCGAUGGCGAAGGCAGCCAUCUGGCCUAAUACUGACGCUGAGGUACGAAAGCAUGGGGAGCAAACAGGAUUAGAUACCCUGGUAGUCCAUGCCGUAAACGAUGUCUACUAGCCGUUGGGGCCUUUGAGGCUUUAGUGGCGCAGCUAACGCGAUAAGUAGACCGCCUGGGGAGUACGGUCGCAAGACUAAAACUCAAAUGAAUUGACGGGGGCCCGCACAAGCGGUGGAGCAUGUGGUUUAAUUCGAUGCAACGCGAAGAACCUUACCUGGCCUUGACAUACUAGAAACU